AUCACUCCGAUUUAGGGUUUUGGUGAAUAUGUCAGGUGCGGAGAAAUCAGGGAGCUAUUGGGGGGGGGAGGUGGAGGCAAAAGCGAGCUGCGAUGAGAUCGAGAGAAGAAGAGGGCAAACGUUGUGAGCGCCGUGAAUUGAGGUUUUCAAAACCAUUAAGACGUUUGAACCGUGAAGCAGAGGAUCACGGUUUAAGGUUGAACCGGAGUUCAGCCGACGGUUGGAGUUUAAUUGAAAUUAAAAUUAAUAUUAAAAUA
rnacentral:misc_RNA from 1 species